rnacentral:rRNA from 1 species
CAUUAUCGAAUAAACUUGAACAGGCUGUUGCUGGUCCUUCGGGAUAUGUGCACGCUUGUCAUCUUUGUUGUUUCUCCAACUGUGCACAUAUUGUAGACCUGUUUGUCGUUGGAUUCGUUCCGAGUUGGGGACUGCCGUGCUAAGGUCGGCUUUGCCCUUGAAGCAGGUCUAUGUCAUUUUUUCACAACCUCUCGAAUGUGUUUAGAAUGUUGAAAAUCAGGUCCUCGUACCUAUAAAGUUAUAAAUACAACUUUCAGCAACGGAUCUCUUGGCUCUCGCAUCGAUGAAGAACGCAGCGAAAUGCGAUAAGUAAUGUGAAUUGCAGAAUUCAGUGAAUCAUCGAAUCUUUGAACGCAUCUUGUGCUCCUUGGUAUUCCGAGGAGCAUGCCUGUUUGAGUGUCAUUUAAAUUCUCAACCACGUCAAUCAGACGUGGCUUUGGACUUGGGGGGUUUUUGCAGGCUUUUCUUAUCAAGUCGGCUCCCCUGAAAUGCAUUAGUGGUAUCUGGAGCGGGAAACUACUAGGUGUGAUAAAUAUCAUCUAUGCCUUUUGGUAUGCCGCAUGAAACAGGUUGUGCUGCUUCCAACGCACCCUUUGACAAACUUG